GGCCCCCCGUCUCAUGAGCUUCUUGUAGGGGUAAUGGCCCGGAAGGCUACGAUGGGUAGCUGGUCCGAGAGGAUGAUCGGCCACACUGGAACUGAACCACGGUCCGGACUCCUACGGGUGGCAGCAGUGGGGAAUAUUGCGCACUGGGGGAAACCCUGACGCAGCCACCCCGUGUGAGGGAAGAACGCUUUCGGGUCGUCAACCUCUGUCGGGAGGGAAGAACCUUCCCGGUCUGAAUAAGCCCUGCAACUGACGGUACCUCCAAAGGAAGCACCGGCUAACCCCCUGCCAACAGCCCCGGUAAUUACGGCCAAUUCGCGGCCGCUAAAGUCAAUUCCCCCUAUACUGAGUCCAAUUACAAUUCCCUGGCCGCCGUUUUACAACCUCUUGACUGGGAAAACCCUGGUGUUACCC
rnacentral:rRNA from 1 species